rnacentral:rRNA from 1 species
UGAGGAAUAUUGGUCAAUGGGCGAGAGCCUGAACCAGCCAAGUAGCGUGCAGGAUGACGGCCCUAUGGGUUGUAAACUGCUUUUAUGCGGGGAUAAAGUGUGCGACGUGUCGUGCAUUGCAGGUACCGCAUGAAUAAGGACCGGCUAAUUCCGUGCCAGCAGCCGCGGUAAUACGGAAGGUCCGGGCGUUAUCCGGAUUUAUUGGGUUUAAAGGGAGCGUAGGCCGCCAGAUAAGCGUGUUGUGAAAUGUACCGGCUCAACCGGUGAAUUGCAGCGCGAACUGUUUGGCUUGAGUGCACGGUAAGCAGGCGUAAUUCAUGGUGUAGCUGUGAAAUGCUUAGAUAUCAUGAGGAACUCCGAUUGCGAAGGCAGCUUGCUGCAGUGCGACUGACGCUGAUGCUCGAAGGUGCGGGUAUCAAACAGG